CCUUGCCUUCCCAGCUUCGUGGUCAUCCUAGAAACCAAUAGCCAAAAAAUUAUGGUGAAGUCCAACAGCCCGAUAGCUAAUGUGAGUCACAGAAAUGGGUUGCAGGUAGCCCCCGAAGGCAGGCCAGGUGCACCGAGGAGUUCAGUGCAAGCAACCUCAAAGCCUGAGAAAUGACUAGUUACCUUGUGGGGCUGCUUGUACAAAGUGCUGUAGUGUCUGGACAUCCUCUGGAGAUUGACAGGUAUCUACAUACUCAGCCAGAGCCACAAGAUUAGUAAGGCAUUCUAGCAAAUAGCUUCAUCUUUACCCUGUGCUGGAAGCACACAUGGCUUUCCUGCAUGACCACUGGUCCACUUGACCAUCGUGCCAUGAUUCAGAUGGGGGCACAAGACACCGAGAAGGGAUGGCCUGGGGUCUGCAGCUGAAAUUACCACCUGCUGACUUCUGUAAUAUAUAACACUUGUUUAGGGAACUAUAGUCAUAUCUGACUUGGCUCUGGAUGGUAGGUGAAUUUAGAAUCACGGCCAUCCAUUUGCAGAGUUUAGGGAAUAAUAAGGGAUAGGCAAGAGAGACUCCCCAGGUAGCUGACAAGAGGUAAGGAUAUUUGCUGUCUUGCUGUUUCUAGGAAAAUCCUGCCUUCCUCUGGGUGGUAUCAUAAACUGAAAUAACCAGUGAUAGCCAAAGGCUCGUCAACCCCCACAGUAAGAGGACCAAACCCAAGGAC
rnacentral:lncRNA from 1 species